rnacentral:rRNA from 1 species
GUAAGUUCCGACCUGCACGAAUGGCGUAACGAUGGCCACACUGUCUCCUCCUGAGACUCAGCGAAGUUGAAAUGUUUGUGAUGAUGCAAUCUCCCCGCGGAAAGACGGAAAGACCCCAUGAACCUUUACUGUAGCUUUACAUUGGACUUUGAACAGAUCUGUGUAGGAUAGGUGGGAGGCUUUGAAGUGCGGUCGCUAGAUCGCAUGGAGCCAACGUUGAAAUACCACCCUGGUGCGUUUGAGGUUCUAACCUAGGUCCAUUAUCUGGAUCGGGGACAGUGCAUGGUAGGCAGUUUGACUGGGGCGGUCUCCUCCCAAAGCGUAACGGAGGAGUUCGAAGGUACGCUAGGUACGGUCGGACAUCGUGCUAAUAGUGCAAUGGCAUAAGCGUGCUUAACUGCGAGACUGACAAGUCGAGCAGAUGCGAAAGCAGGACAUAGUGAUCCGGUGGUUCUGUAUGGAAGGGCCAUCGCUCAACGGAUAAAAGGUACUCUGGGGAUAACAGGCUGAUGACGCCCAAGAGUCCAUAUCGACGGCGUCGUUUGGCACCUCGAUGUCGGCUCAUCUCAUCCUGGGGCUGUAGCCGGUCCCAAGGGUAUGGCUGUUCGCCAUUUAAAGAGGUACGUGAGCUGGGUUUAAAACGUCGUGAGACAGUUUGGUCCCUAUCUUCCGUGGGCGCUGCAGAUUUGAGGAAGCCUGCUCCUAGUACGAGAGGACCGGAGUGGACACACCUCUGGUGUAUCGGUUGUCACGCCAGUGGCAUUGCCGAGUAGCUAUGUGUGGAAGAGAUAACCGCUGAA